rnacentral:lncRNA from 1 species
UAAAGGAGAAGUGAGUAACUGAAGUCUGGAGUCCCCGUUUUCUGCAGAAAUAUCAAGGUUUGAUAUUUGGCUUGUGACCCUGAUCAAGUUCAGUGUUUUAUAUGUGUCUUUGAACCUGGGAGGAGUGCAUGAGAGCCACGUACUUGAACCUAGGUUGUGCUGGCACACUAGGAGUUCUUCCCCACUAAGUUGUGUACAAGUACAGAGAGCACCUUAGGGAUGGUUCCAAUAAAAUUAUCCUCCAACAAUCCUCAAGCUCCAACCAGGGUACAGCGUGUGUGAGUGGUAGAACUUCUGUCCACACCGGUGUUCACCUGUCCCCAGUCCCCAAACUUGGUCUGUCCAGAAGCUGAGCGCGCCAACACCUGGUCUAGUGACCACACUCGCCAGUUCUUCACCUCGCCGUGGCCAGGUAGUUCCGGUGAGUGUCUUACUCGUGUGACGCUUGUUCUGCGUUCUCCAUAAGGCAAUGAAGCUCACCAAAGAAGAUUUGCUAACUCUACCAUUACCAGGUGUUUGGAACAGAGCUGUGCCGCCGCAGACUGGCGCCGAGGACAGCCCCACCGUCGACCCGUCUAAUUGCGUCGUCCCCGGAUGAAUUCUUGCGAGCACGGACGCCUUGGUAAGUCUGUGAUUCUCUCAACGUCGCUUGAUUGAACGCUACCGUGUGUAUGCCUCAGAGUUGGGAUAGCCGGACUCGGUGUUCCGCCGUCGCCAUCGAUAGCUUAGUCUCAUGGCCUCCGUAGGUCGAUAAAGCACACACCCGUGUUCGCCAUAGUUUGGGGAAUGAUGUUGAUGUCCUCGCGGUCAUCGAAGUUGCACCACGGUGGUCGAUCCAACGCAUGGUCGCCGGAGAACCGCGCAGCGGGUGUCGGGGCCGAGACUUUGUAAAAGGGAGGUAGUCAAGGGGUGUUUCUGCGAUUGUCAGAGACAGGCGUGAACAGUGGACCGGGCUCAUAUAGGAUUAUUUGGCGCAGCGGGGUCUCUGCGCAAACAUGGCAGUGCGGGCGCGGGCUCCCGUUUGUGGGCCGACUGUGCUCGGUACGUGGGCCGCGUGGGCCGGUUUCAGCCCAAGGUUUAUUAGUUUUUCUUUAUUUAUUUGUCUGAGAUCUUAGAAAUGGCGCCAAAAAUUGUAUAAAUGUACAAAAAUCGUGGAGAAAUUUUAGGAGAUGUAUAAAUUCAAUAAAUCUCAUAUACAAAUGGUUUUAGGAUUUUUAGUGUAGUUAAUAAAUUUCUGGUGAUUUAUAAGUGCUUGUUGAAGGCAUAUAUGAAUUUUAGAAAAAACAAAUGGAGCACCAAAAAAUAUGAAAAUUCUUUGAGAGUUUUGUUAGCACAAUAUGAGUACUUGGUAAAAGUUGGAGGAGGUUUGGAAGCCUUUUUACUAGAAAGCCUUGCAAGGUCCAAAAUAGAUAGUGAAUCCUUAAUUAAUUAGUGGAUUAAGUCCUUUGGAGAAGAGACAAGGAUAUCAAUUGAACUAUUGUCUUCGGAUGUAGUUUCUUAGUGAGUUUUGGGUCUUUGGAUGAUGUCUAAAGAUGAUUAACUCAUGUGGUGGUCAAGCUUGGGUCCAAAAUAGAUAGUGAAUCCUUAAUUAAUUAGUGGAUUAAGUGCUUUGGAGAAGAGACAAGGAUAUCAAGUGAACUUUGGUCUUUGGAUGCAUUUGCUUAGUGAGUUUUGGUUCUUUAGAUCAGGUCUAAAGAUGAUUAACUCAUGUGGUGGUCAAGCUUGUAGAGAUAGCUUGUAGGGUUCAAAGAAAGAGAGAUGAAUCCUUGCUCCACCCAUAGAUGAAGUGUUUGGUUGUGGAGACUAGAUUCCCUAGUAUGAUUGAAGAGUUUGGUUAUGUUAUUAGAGUAUUUAGAGUCUUUGUGCUAGUAGAUCCUUUGUUGUGUGUUUUAUUUACACUUUUGAGAGGAAGUAUGGUCUUGUGAUGUCUUAUAGUAUUUUCUGUGCAAACAACAUAAGCAUUCAUGUUCAUGUCAUUUCAUGUAGAGCUCCCAAUAGAAAGAUGAAGGUUCAAGAUGAAGUGGUUGCUGAAGAGGAGUCUACUCUAGUGUCUACUGAUCAAGUGG